rnacentral:lncRNA from 1 species
UGGUGUGAUAUCUAUUUUAAAUUCAACCUCACGAUCUGGAGGCAGCCCAGGUAGUUCAUCUGAAAAAACAUCAAAAAAUUCUUUGACAAUUGGAAUAUCAUCCAACUUUAUCUUUUCUUUCUCGGCAUCCACUAUGUGGGCCAAAAAUGCUUGGCAUCCUUUCCUUAAAGCUUUUCUUGCAUUCAUGAUUGAGAUAAUA